rnacentral:rRNA from 1 species
UACGGAGGGUGCGAGCGUUACUCGGAAUUACUGGGCGUAAAGGGCGCGUAGGCGGCCGUGCAAGUCUGGUGUGAAAGCCCAGGGCUUAACCCUGGAAGUGCACUGGAAACUGCUGGGCUUGGAUCCUGGAGAGGCUGGCGGAAUUCCCGGUGUAGGGGUGAAAUCCGUAGAUAUCGGGAGGAAGGCCGGUGGCGAAGGCGGCCCUCUGGGCCUGUACUGACACUGAGGCGCGAAAGCGUGGGGAGCAAACAGG